GGGGAAUUUUCCGCAAUGGGCGAAAGCCUGACGGAGCAAGACCGCGUGAGGGAGGAAGGCUCUUGGGUUGUAAACCUCUUUUCUCAGGGAAGAAGAAAGUGACGGUACCUGAGGAAUCAGCCUUGGCUAACUCCGUGCCAGCAGCCGCGGUAAUACGGAGGAGGCAAGCGUUAUCCGGAAUUAUUGGGCGUAAAGCGUCCGCAGGUGGCUUGCUCAAGUUUGUUGUCAAUGUUCGGCGAU
rnacentral:rRNA from 1 species